AUUCAGCACAAGGCUUUGUGAAUGCAAAGAUGAAAUUAUUGAUUUGCUAUGGGAAGUUGUGCAUGUUAGAAACUUGCAUAAAUUCCAAGUUGUCACUGGACAAAUUCAUAGAAGAAAAAUCAAAUAUUCCUCAUUAGUUCUGUAAGUCCUGAGUACGCUAAUAGGCGGAAAUUGGGAGAGGAACUAUUACUGUGUGCAUUACUAUGUGCUUCUCUUUUUCUUAACCCUUUCCUUAGCAUCUGGUGCUGGACAUAGCAAGAGAUGAGAUUCAGUGACUGGUCUGGUACAGCCACUGUUACUGGAGGGUACUGUUGUGUUCUGAUUAUUUAGGCAGUGUCUGUACAGAAGGUAAUUGCUAUAUAAAUGCUAACUAACAUAUUGAUUGUUGCUUUUCAAAACCUCCAAGAAGACCCUUGAUUGAUGCAGCUCACUGAAGGAACCACUUCUGCAUGGAAUUAAUUGAUCCAAUAACUUACUUUACUUCUCCUUCCAUCCUAACAUGAUUAGUGGGAGCACACCGCUGCACAUGAAUCGGUUCCAGGAAACCCAGCAAGGCUCUAUUAUACUUCUAAUUCUACAGCAAUAAUACAUUUAAUAAUAUUUGUUUUCUUACCGGCUCCCCCUUUUGUCCGUCCACUCCAAUACCAGGAUUUCCCUAAUUGACAGAAAAAGUACACAGGUUGAAGAUAACCAGAAAAUGCUGAUAUUAGAAUUUAAUCAAAUAACUCAUUUGAAAAACUUAGUAACAAACAACCAUAAGAGACAUUUCGAAUAUUUGUAUAAAUUAAUCUAUUAUUUUAAUAACAACGUCAGGAAAAUCAUGGCCUACCUGUUCACCUGGCAAACCAGGGUAACCCGGAAUACCCUUUAAAAGAGAAUGAAAACAAACAAGUUAGUAUGUCUGAUUUAGACAUCUUUGUCUGAAAAUCACAUACUCUUGCCAGCAGCACCUAGAGGCAGAAUUUCCUCUUGGGAUGAGGAAAUCGCAAUUUACUUCACCUGCUCACUGCUUUCAGCAGGGUUGAACUCUGGCUUCCCACUUUUCACUUCCUGACUCCCACAAGGUGCCCUUGGGGAAAGCGAAUAAGGAGAAAGCAGUAGCAGCAUUCCUCCAUGACCACAGACUGCCAGAUGAAAUGUGUCCACCCAGGCAUGGGAAGGAAAAAUAUAUGCUCCAAUUCCUGAACUUCCAAACUCAUAAGACUGCCUGAUGAAGUGUCCUUCUCCAGCAUCCUAAUAUGCCUACCUUUUCUUUCAAAUUUAAUCACUUUAAAAGUGUGCUAGUUUCCUGAUACUGGCUGCUCAAAUCCUGAAGUCAGAAUGGAACAGAAAAGAUAAAGACCCAGGCAAGAUUAAGUGUGCACAGAGCAGUCAUGAAUAGGUAUGUAUACAAAAUAGCACAUGAAACUGUAAAAGCAUGAUUUGGGAAGAGAUCUACUAAUACACUUGUGUGAUCAACCACCAAAAAUCUUAGAGU